GCCAGGUGCGGUGGCUCACACCUGUAAUCCCAAUACUUCGGGAGGCUGAGACGGGUGGAUCACCAGAGGCCAGGAGUUCAAGACCAGCCUGGCCAACAUGGUGAAACCCUGUCUCUA
rnacentral:sRNA from 1 species